GCGGCUCCAGCCCCUGCCAUGCUCCGGGCUCGGCUCGCAGUCGCCGCCGCUACGACGCCCGUCCUCCAGAAUGAGACAUUCUGCAAGUUUCUGGAAGCUGUCCCAAAUUCACAAAUGUUUUCAGAUUCUGCAAAGAUGAGUUCUCCCUUUCUCAGCCAGAGCAAUGCUUUCUCUCACGUACAUCGUCUAUCAAAUGUUUAAGGAUCUUUUUGCAUCAGAUUUUUCUCCUGAAGUUUCUCCAUCAUGAAACACCACGAUGGUGACCAUAUUCACUUUUGGGAAAAUGGGAGCUCUCAGCCUUCUUAUCAUGGAAUCAUGGAAUCACAGAAUCA